UACGUAGGGGGCUAGCGUUGUCCGGAAUCAUUGGGCGUAAAGAGCGUGUAGGCGGCCCGGUAAGUCCGCUGUGAAAGUCAAAGGCUCAACCUUUGAAUGUCAGCGGAUACUGCCGGGCUAGAGUCCGGAAGAGGCGAGUGGAACUCCUGGUGUAGCGGUGGAAUGCGCAGAUAUCAGGAAGAACACCCGUGGCGAAGGCGGUUCUCUGGGACGGUACUGACGCUGAGACGCGAAAGCGUGGGGAGCGAACAGG
rnacentral:rRNA from 1 species